UACGGAGGGUGCUAGCGUUGUUCGGAAUCACUGGGCGUAAAGCGCGUGUAGGCGGCCUGUUAAGUCUGAUGUGAAAGCCCGGGGCUCACCCCCGGAAGUGCAUUGGAAACUGCCAGGCUCGAGUCCCGGAGAGGAGGGUGGAAUUCCUGGUGUAGCGGUGAAAUGCGUAGAUAUCAGGAGGAACACCGGUGGCGAAAGCGGCGCACUGGACCACAUCUGACGCUGAGGCGCGAAAGCUAGGGGAGCAAACAGG
rnacentral:rRNA from 1 species